CUGGCAAGUGAGCUGCAUGGAAAAGGUUCUCCAGAGCAUUCAAAAUGAUACUUAGGACUAAGUAAAACACCAACCCUGAACUUCAGAGCAGCUCAGACCACCUGGUAAUCAGCCUGGUAACUCAGGAAAGCUGGAGUAGGGCAGCAGGCAGCCUUAUCAUUAACAGUGAGUAUCAAGGCGGGGGGAGAAGGUUUUAUCUCUGCUUGAGGCUAGGAGCUGAUAUUUAGUUCUGACACCUUCUGAUCUGUAAAACUUUCUUAGAUUUAAGGAAGAAAAUGUCUCUUCCCAGGAUUUUCUUUUAGAGUGAUGAGGCCUUUUGGCUUAUGUUACUGUGUUCUGUGCAAAUGGUGAAGGAUGUGUGCUGGCAGCAGGGUUAGGAAUGAAGUAAAAGAGUAGCUCUUGUGGAGGAAGAGCAGUUUGUGAAGCACUGAAGAAGGUGGUUUCACAGGAGCACUGGAUUCCCUGUUCAGCUCCAUGCAGAGCCUGCAGCAUGACCUGGGGAGGAAACCUUCAGCGCUGGGCGAAUGGGAGCUUGCAGAGGACUGCAGGAAGAAGGAGAGCCAGCUUUGCAUAAGAACACCUCAUCCAAGGAUAUGAGUCAAAGAAACAUGACAACAAAGCCUCCUGAGAAGGAAGUGUCUCACAUGUUCCCAUGUUUGCUGGAAAUUGACCACUGUAAUGCAAAUAAUGUAAAGAAAGAUUUGGUCCAUGUUACUGCAAGAAGAGAUUGAAAGUGGAAAGGAAGACAUUAGACUGAGGAGAACAUCAACAAGCAUCAGAUGGAGCUAUCAUCCUGGUGGGCUGUUAGCCAACUUGCUGUGAGCCCUGGAGUCUGCUUUGUGAAAUGCCACUUCCAGCAAAGUCUGAACCUGCCUGUGAUCACAGUGGGGCUGGAAAUGAAGAACCCUUUAGCCAUCAGUGAGAUGAACUCUUAAGAGAGCCCUUUAUCAGGAUUCAGCCUUGAUUUAGGGUAAAGUGUACUGCUUUUUUCCCCAGACUAUGGUAAGAUGAUGUGACAGGUAACUGCAGUAUAAAGGGACUGAGCACAGUGUCCAAAGAGGCCCUGUCUUGUCCACAGUUCUUACUACAUUCUGCAUAUUUGAGUAGGAAAGCAAAAUAUUUCUAAGCACAAAAGCUCUAGUUUUAAGUUUUUAAUGAAACUGAAGUUCAGCUCCUGUAUUUGAAUCUAUCCCAAACAGAGGGAGCUUAACCACUACACUCUGAAACCACUGCAAGUGUUCUAGAGUAAUUUGUUUCCUUCAUUCUCUGCAGACAGAUUCCUAAGCUGUAACAAGUGAAUAGCGUAAUUUCUUUAAAAUGCCUUUUCUUCCUUCUCUCUAUAUUGCCUUUGGCAAUUUUAAGCCUUCAAAGACAGCUACAGUUUUCCUGACAGUCUGCACUACUGAAGUAAGCCUUUAAUUGAGCACGCUGGCAUCCAAAUAUGAUGCCCUGUGCAGCUGAGUGAUUAAUUUUUAACUACCCUGGAUACCUCAGGAAAAGUAUAUAUACUGUGAAUACACAGGUAUUUUUCAUUUAGGUCUUUGUUUUUCUUUUCCCAAUGUGACCUCAUCUGUUCUACUGUGAUAAACAGGAAGAGAAUAAAUGGACAUCCUAAAUCUAGACAGUGAAUUUUGUGCUGGUCAAAACAACAUUUCAUUGUUUUCCACACUUGCAAGGAUUAUAAUUAAUCCCCCAAAAUUAUAACUUUUUAUUAAAGAAGCCAUUUAAUCAACAACCAGAAGAGAAUAAGUUUUGCUGAUCAGACUGCUUAUAGCUCUAAUGAGAUUUGCUUAAUUUGGAGAAGGUUCUUGAAUCUGAAUCUUUUGUAUCAAAUGUGAAGACAUGGAGUCAGACUGUUUUGCAAAUUCUCCCAGUGUUGCUGCUCCAGUUUGCUGAUCUUACCCACCCAGCAAGCUCAUUACUCUGGCUUGUCUCUCCUGGAAGUUUCCACGAGGAUUGUUGAAAGGUUUCAUUUUUGUUCCACUGUGGAACGAAAAUCAAAUGUUAAAAUCAUGAUGCCUGAGGCUUUGGUGUUCUCUUUUCCCUUCAAUGGAAUGAGGUUGCUGGUGUUUUAGUCUGCCUUCAUGUACUGAAAUGACUUCUCAAUUCGAAUCACCAUUACCAAAAGGAAGACCGCUGUAGUUUGGGUAUCCGUUCUCUAAGACCUGCAACCUGCCUGGCAAGAAAACAUCGUCAGGUAGGCUUUGCCUCAUUUAAAGGUCAUUAUUCCAAGGACUUGCUCAAUCUAUGUACCCUGAAGUGGGAGAGGGACACUGCAGAGAAUGGAAAGAUGGAUGGCAGUCUUAGAUGAAUGCCCUGGUUAUAUUCUCUAUAUUAGAUUGUCGUGGUUUUCCUGGCCCAGAUGCUAACAUCUAACACAUUUUUAAUACUAUUGCCUGUUGAGAUCCUAUUAGAAAAUGAUUCAGAGUCUGGAAAGUUGGGAGGGAGGAGGGGGAAGUUAAUUCCUUAGAAAUAAUACAGUCAUUAUGUGUACACACAAUUCAAUAUGUAACUUGGGGGUUUUAUGGUCUCUCUACCAUCCUGCACACCAGCUUUUUAAAAUUGCAGUCACAUUCAUUAUAAAGUAAAUGCCUAAUGCAAGUGAUUCUCAAAGCAGUUUGUAAUUUAAAUUCCUAUUGGAAAUAAAAGUAAUGACCCACAAUA